rnacentral:rRNA from 1 species
GACAGAGGUGCCGAGCGUUAGGCGGAAUCACUGGGCUUAAAGCGUGUGUAGGCGGACUUCUAAGUACCUUGUGAAAUCCCACGGCUCAACCGUGGAACUGCUCGGUAUACUGGUUGUCUUGAGCCACUUAGGGGCAGUCGGAACAGACGGUGGAGCGGUGAAAUGCGUAGAUAUCUGGAGGAACACCGGUGGCGAAGGCGGCAUCCUGGACCGAAAUUGACGCUGAGGCGCGAAAGCCAGGGGAGCAAACGGG